rnacentral:rRNA from 1 species
GUCUUUAAGAUUUAAUUUAAAGUCUUACCUGCUCACUGAUCUAAAUUUAAAUAGCCGCGGUAUAUUGACCGUGCGAAGGUAGCAUAAUCAUUAGUCUUUUAAUUGGAGGCUGGAAUGAAUGGUUUGACGAAAAGUAAACUGUCUCUUUAUAAUAAUCGGAAUUUAACUUUUGAGUUAGAAUGCUUAAAUAGAAUUUUUGGACGAGAAGACCCUAUAGAGCUUAACUUAAUUUAGAUUAAUUAUAUUUAAGAUUUUAUUAUUAAUUAAUCUAAAUCAAGUUUCGUUGGGGUGAUGUAAAUAAUAGUUAAACUUUUUUUAUUUUUUUCACUAAUUUGUGUUUAUUUGAUCCAUAAUUUAUGAUUAAAAGAUUAAGUUACCUUAGGGAUAACAGCGUAAUAUCUUUUGAGAGUUCAUAUUGACAAAGAAGAUUGCGACCUCGAUGUUGGAUUAGGGUAAAUUGUAUAGGUGUAGAAGCUAUAUAAAUGGGUCUGUUCGACCUUUAAAUUCCU